rnacentral:rRNA from 1 species
UACGGAGGAUGCAAGCGUUAUCCGGAUUUAUUGGGUUUGAAGGGUGCGCAGGUUGUUUGAUAAGUCAGUGGUGAAAGUCUGUCGCUUAACGGUAGGAUUGCCAUUGAUACUGUUAGACUUGAAUAUGGAUGAGGUAGGCGGAAUGUGUAGUGUAGCGGUGAAAUGCAUAGAUAUUACACAGAACACCGAUUGCGAAGGCAGCUUACUAAUCCAUCAUUGACGCUGAGGCACGAAAGCGUGGGGAUCAAA